rnacentral:rRNA from 1 species
GCGUCAGUCGCAAGAUGAAGCGUUGGAUUGAGGCCCGAGUAAACGGCGGCCGUAACUAUAAUGGUCCUAAGGUAGCGAAAUUCCUUGUCGGUUAAAUACCGACCUGCAUGAAUGGCGUAACGAGAUGGGAGCUGUCUCAACCAGAGAUUCAGUGAAAUUGUAGUGGAGGUGAAAAUUCCUCCUACCCGCGGCAAGACGGAAAGACCCCGUGGACCUUUACUACAACUUAGCACUG